UACGGAGGAUGCAAGCGUUAUCCGGCAUGAUUGGGCGUAAAGGGUCCGCAGGUGGCAGUGUAAGUCUGCUGUCAAAGAAUGAGGCUUAACCUUAUCAAGGCAGUGGAAACUACACAGCUAGAGUACGGUCGGGGUAGAAGGAAUUCCUGGUGUAGCGGUGAAAUGCGUAGAGAUCAGGAAGAACACCGGUGGCGAAAGCGUUCUGCUAGACCUGUACUGACACUGAGGGACGAAAGCUAGGGGAGCGAAUGGG
rnacentral:rRNA from 1 species